rnacentral:rRNA from 1 species
GCCAGCAGCCAUUUCACCCUGCAGCUCUCAACUGGCUACCCACUGAAGUUAAGCAAGGUUGAGCCUGGUCAGUACCUGGAUGGGAGACCUCCUAGGAAGCUACGGUCGCUGCUGGAU